UGGGCUGACAAGUCCUCUCAUUCAGUGUUUACCACUGAGCAUAGAACUUCCAGCAUGGAGUUGAUACUGAGCUGGGUUUUCCUUCUUGCUCUUUUAAAAGGUGUCCAGUGUGAGGUGCACCUGGUGGAGUCUGGGGGAGGCUUAGUGCAGCCUGGAAAGUCCCUGAAACUCUCCUGUGCAGCCUCUGGAUUCACAUUCAGUGAUGCCUGGAUGAACUGGGUCCGCCAGGCUCCAGGGAAGGGGCUAGAGUGGGUUGCACAAAUUAGAAACAAAGCUAAUAAUUAUGAAACAAACUAUGUGGAGUCUGUGAAAGGCAGAUUCACCAUCUCAAGAGAUGAUUCCAAAAGCAGCCUCUACCUGCAAAUGAGCAGCUUAAGAGCCGAAGACACCGCCAUUUAUUACUGUACUGCAGACACAGUAAGGGAUCUUCAGUGA